GUGUUCACUUCAGCAGCAUGUAUACUAAAAUUGGAACGAGACAGAGAAGAUUAGCAUGACCCCUGUGCAAGGAUGACAUAUAAAUUUGUGAAGCAUUCCAUAUUUUC
ensembl:snRNA U6 U6 spliceosomal RNA